UUCACAUCAGAAUUUCAACAGAGAAGAAAAAAGAAAAACCAGGAGCUAACAUCAUGUCUAGACACUAUUCAGAAGAAAUCAUAGUUAACAUCUUUUCAAGGUUACCAGUAAAGAGUAUCAAACGCUUCAAUUGUGUAUGUAAGCCAUGGCUCAAGUUAUUUUCUGACCCUAAAUUUGUGAAGUUGUGUCUUAAACAUGCCCUGAAAAACAGCAAUUUCAAGAUUCUUGCAAGUGAUCUGAAGAGGUUUUACUCUGUGGUUUUUGGUUCACCAUUAAACUUUUCAAUAGGAUCAUCGUCAUCUUCUUCAUCUUCUGCAUCAUUGUCGUUGUCUAUGCCUAUGUCGCCAAUAUUUGAUAGUGCUACUAAGGUAAAUCUCCCUUUUGGAACUGGUAAAUAUGGAAUUAAUCUUUUGGGUACAUGCAAUGGUUUGCUUAGCUUUCUCGGUACUCAGGAUACAGUUUGUUUUUGGAAUCCAACAACUAAUGAGUAUAAAAGAGUACCUUCAGCCUCAAUUGAGCGUCCUGAAGCUGAAGGUUUAGGGAUGAUCCGCUCCCUCAGAUAUGGGUUUGGUCAUGAUUCGGAGAAUGAUGUUUACAAAGUGGCAAGUCUUGUGGACUUUUGUGAUUAUGGGUGUACUGUUAAGGUUCUUACUUUGGGCACAGAAGAAUGGCGGUUAAAAUCGCAUGUUCCUUAUGGAUUUCAGCAUGGACAUCUAUAUGGAGUACUCGUUAAUGAAGCUGUUCACUGGGUUGCAAACCCCUUGUCCGCAACGCUUCCUUAUGACGGGGUUAGAAUCGUACUGUCUUUCGAUGUUAAGAGUGAGAUGUUCAAGGAGGUGCCACAACCUCAAAACUUGAAUGAGCCGAACCAUAUCACGUUGGGUGAAUUCGGUCGGAAACUCUGUCUAAUUGAUCAUGAUUGCCACACUGUUAGUGUCAAUUUCUGGGUUAUGAAUGAGUACGGGAGAAGUGAAUCUUGGACUAAGCAAAUCAUCAUCUCCCUGCAGACAGUUAUUCCAUCAUUUAAGUAUGUGAUACCGGUUCAGCGUUUCAGAAAUGGUGAGAUUAUAUUAGAAAUCGACAAUGGAACUUUGAUCUUGUAUAACCCGAAGGAAGAACAUUCCAGAGUUCUACACAUUCGCCAAUUUAAUAAACACUUUGAAGUAACGACUUACAUAGAGAGUCUAGUUUCACCUAAGCAAAUAACUCUGGUGAAGCAAGAACAAGCAGGGAUGGUGAUUGAAACUAAAGGGGAAGCUUAAGAAGAUGGUCACAAAAUUAAUAAGAGGGCAAAUGCUGGUUUGAGUUUGAACGAGCAGUGAAAAGCGAGAAGGGUGGAUGGUAGAAAGAGGGAGAGUUGCUGUAUAUAUACUGUGCCGUAUUCAUUGCUUACCUAUGACAUAUAUUGGCGAUCUGUACUAUGAAGGGCAUCAUUGUUUUCAGAAAGUCUACAUUUUCUUCCCCGGGGCAUUACCUUUUCGAUAAUCUCAACGCGGAUAUGUCCAGGCUUUGAUUCCCAUUUUGGAGUGUUGAAUUUUGAUUCCCAGAUGGUAAACUCAAAUUAUCAUGGCAGCUGGUUCUCUAAUAGUAAUUUGGUACGAACGAGGUCUGGUACAUGGUUCAAGAUGUCAGUGGGUACUACGAUCUCAGACAGGUGGCAUAUGUCCACUAGUUGGAUGGAACUUCUUAAACUCAAGAAUGGGCUUCUGAUGAAAAGUGUUCAAGUUACAUGAUACACAAGUCAGUUGAUAGCCCCUGGAGAUCACCUGGAUCGUUGUAACCUGGCUUACAUGAAAAUUUGUUUCGAAUCGUCUCCAAGGGGCACACUUCGGAUAAAAGGUGAUCGCUAGCUCUUCCUUUUAGAAAAAUCAAUUAUGAACAGAGAAUAAAGAUUUAGAUAGCUCUGCAUAUGACACGAGCAACAUUUAUAAGGUCCUAGCCCUCGGUGAUGAUACUAUUUGGGUAGUUUUUUUUUCCCAAGUUUUUAUGGCUGUACUUGUGGAAAUUGGCGGACGUAUGAAACAUGAAAUUGGUAUGUGCAACACUGAAUUGGUACCAGCAUUUAAAGAUUGUCAUCCUGUUCUUUCGCCCUGCCCUGUUUAAGUCUCUCUCUGAUGUUUUUCUUUUCUUGAUGCUUGC